rnacentral:rRNA from 1 species
GAUGAACGCUGGCGGCGUGCCUAAUACAUGCAAGUCGAGCGAACGGACGAGAAGCUUGCUUUUCUGAUGUUAGCGGCGGACGGGUGAGUAACACGUGGAUAACCUACCUAUAAGACUGGGAUAACUUCGGGAAACCGGAGCUAAUACCGGAUAAUAUUUUGAACCGCAUGGUUCAAAAGUGAAAGACGGUCUUGCUGUCACUUAUAGAUGGAUCCGCGCUGCAUUAGCUAGUUGGUAAGGUAACGGCUUACCAAGGCAACGAUGCAUAGCCGACCUGAGAGGGUGAUCGGCCGCACUGGAACUGAGACACGGUCCAGACUCCUACGGGAGGCAGCAGUAGGGAAUCUUCCGCAAUGGGCGAAAGCCUGACGGAGCAACGCCGCGUGAGUGAUGAAGGUCUUCGGAUCGUAAAACUCUGUUAUUAGGGAAGAACAUAUGUGUAAGUAACUGUGCACAUCUUGACGGUACCUAAUCAGAAAGCCACGGCUAACUACGUG